rnacentral:rRNA from 1 species
ACAUACAAGUCGAGCGAUGAAACACCUUCGGGUGUGAAUUAGCGGCGAACGGGUGAGGAACACGUGAAGAAUCUGCCUUCAACUCUGGGAUAACUCCGGGAAACCUGGGCUAAUACCGGAUACGUAAACCUGUGGCAUCACAUGGUUUUGGAAAGUUUUUCGAUCGAGGAUGGAUUCGCGGCCUAUCAGCUUGUUGGUGAGGUAAUGGCUCACCAAGGCGACGACGGGUAGCCGGCCUGAGAGGGUGAACGGCCACACUGGGACUGAGACACGGCCCAGACUCC